UGGGCAACCUGCCCUCAGCACGGGGAUAACCCCCGGGGAAACCGGAGCUAAUACCCGAUACGACCUUCGCGGGCAUCCGUGAAGGUGGAAAGUGUUAGUGGCUGAGGAUGGGCCCGCGGCCUAUCAGCUUGUUGGUGAGGUAACGGCUCACCAAGGCUUCGACGGGUAGCCGGCCUGAGAGGGCGACCGGCCACACUGGGACUGAGACACGGUCCAGACUCCUACGGGAGCA
rnacentral:rRNA from 1 species